rnacentral:rRNA from 1 species
UACAGAGGUCUCAAGCGUUGUUCGGAUUCAUUGGGCGUAAAGGGUGCGUAGGUGGCGGGGGUAAGUCAGGUGUGAAAUCUCGGGGCUCAACCCCCGAAACUGCAUUUGAUACUGCCUUGCUCGAGUACUGGAGAGGAGAUUGGAAUUUACGGUGUAGCAGUGAAAUGCGUAGAUAUCGUAAGGAAGACCAGUGGCGAAGGCGAAUCUCUGGACAGUUACUGACACUGAGGCACGAAGGCCAGGGGAGCAAACGGG